CAGCUCAAAUUUGAAAUCUGGCCGUCCUGCGGUCCGAGUUGUAAUUUGCAGAGGACGCUUCGGAUGCGGCGCCGGUCUAAGUUCCUUGGAACAGGACGUCAUAGAGGGUGAGAAUCCCGUACGUGACCGGUGACCCAGCCCGUGUGAAGCUCCUUCGACGAGUCGAGUUGUUUGGGAAUGCAGCUCUAAAUGGGUGGUAAAUUUCAUCUAAAGCUAAAUACCGGCCAGAGACCGAUAGCGCACAAGUAGAGUGAUCGAAAGAUGAAAAGCACUUUGGAAAGAGAGUUAAAAAGUACGUGAAAUUGUUGAAAGGGAAGCGCUUGCAACCAGACUUGCUCACAGGCGAUCAGCCGUCCUUCUGGGCGGUGCACUCGCCCGUGAUCAGGCCAGCAUCGGUUCAGGCGGCCGGAUAAAGGCCCCGGGAACGUGGCUCCCCACGGGGAGUGUUAUAGCCCGGGGUGCAAUGCGGCCCGCCGGGACCGAGGACCGCGCUUCGGCUAGGAUGCUGGCGUAAUGGUUGCAAGCGACCCGUCUUGAAACACGGACCAAGGAGUCUAACAUCUAUGCGAGUGUUUGGGUGUCAAACCCAUGCGCGCAAUGAAAGUGAACGGAGGUGGGAGCCCUCACAGGCGCACCAUCGACCGAUCCUGAUGUCUUCGGAUGGAUUUGAGUAAGAGCAUAGCUGUUGGGACCCGAAAGAUGGUGAACUAUGCCUGAAUAGGGUGAAGCCAGAGGAAACUCUGGUGGAGGCUCGCAGCGGUUCUGACGUGCAAAUCGAUCGUCAAAUUUGGGUAUAGGGGCGAAAGACUAAUCGAACCAUCUAGUAGCUGGUUCC
rnacentral:rRNA from 1 species